rnacentral:rRNA from 1 species
GACGAACGCUGGCGGCGUGCCUAAUACAUGCAAGUAGAACGCUGAAGGAGGAGCUUGCUUCUCUGGAUGAGUUGCGAACGGGUGAGUAACGCGUAGGUAACCUGCCUGGUAGCGGGGGAUAACUAUUGGAAACGAUAGCUAAUACCGCAUAAGAGUAGAUGUUGCAUGACAUUUGCUUAAAAGGUGCAAUUGCAUCACUACCAGAUGGACCUGCGUUGUAUUAGCUAGUUGGUGGGGUAACGGCUUACCAAGGCGACGAUACAUAGCCGACCUGAGAGGGGGAUCGGCCAAACUGGGACUGAGACACGGCCCAGACUCCUACGGGAGGCAGCAGUAGGGAAUCUUCGGCAAUGGACGGAAGUCUGACCGAGCAACGCCGCGUGAGUGAAGAAGGGUUUCGGAUCGUAAAGCUCUGUUGUAAGAGAAGAACGAGUGUGAGAGUGGAAAGUUCACACUGUGACGGUAUCUUACCAGAAAGGGACGGCUAACUACGUG